UGAGUAACGGCGAGCGAAAAGGGAUCAGUCCAGCGCCGAAUCCCACACUCGAAAGGGUGUAGGGAAAUGUGGCGUUUAGGCGUGAGCGUGCCGGAUGCGGACCGAGCAGCAAGUUCCCCUGACCGGGACUGUUACCCAAAGUGGGUGCGAGGCCCAUAGCUGAAAGGUCUGCUCCGGAAUGCGAUCGCCUUGGAGUCGGGUUGCUUGGGAGUGCAACCCUAAGUGGGUGGUAAACUCCACCUAAGACUAAAUACUGCCGUGAGACCGAUAGCAAACAAGUACCGUGAGGGAAAGUUGCAAAGAACUUUGAAGAGAGAGUUCAAGAGUACGUGAAACUGCUCAGAGGUAAACGGGUGGGCCCUCGAAAUCCUGUGGCGGGAUGAUUCAGUUGGGCGCUGCCUUCAGGCUCGAACGGACACGAUAUGGUUAUCCUUUUGAGGGGGCCGUCCGAUCGCUGGAACACGGCGGCGCUCGACGCAUUUCGUUCCCGUCCAAAGGACGCCGCAACCGGUUGGGCUCGACGGCUAGAAGGACGGACGUGGGCAGGUGGCCGGUGGAAUCGCUUUAAGCUUUUUCGCCGGUUGUUAGCCCGUCUGCCACAUGGCACGUCGCUCGACCGUGGUGACACGAGGCCUUUGUAGGCUCCUCCGUCUCCUCCCUUAAGCAGGACGCCGGGGCGGAAGGGCAGACGUACGUUCCGAGCGGGGCCGCACUGGCCUUACCAGUGGGCAAAGUACGGACGUCAUCGUGAGCCCCAGCGCGCCCGUGGGAGGCAUGAUGGU
rnacentral:rRNA from 1 species